rnacentral:lncRNA from 1 species
UGACAAGUUACACAGCCUGUAUAAUCAUACAAAGAAGAAGGAAAACAUACAAGAAAAGAAAAGACAUAUCACAACUUGCAUAAUAGCCUUUAUGAUAUCAAAUGAAAAAGGAAAUACAAUAUUAUAAACGCACAAGGGUUACCAUGAACCCUAUUGGAACCAGUCGGAAUUGAACCCGUUCUAGAAUGAUAUGGGUCUCAACAAGAUUCCACAUAAAACCCCUUAUUUUUAUAUUUGUUUCCCUUUUUUUAAACCUCACUAAUAUGUUUUUAGGUCUCCUUAGAUCCCACCACAUAAACCCCUAUUUUUGUUUCUAUUUAUUUUAUUUUAUUUGUUUUUUAAUAUUUUUUAGGUUAUCGAUUUAGACAGACCCAAAUUACUGACGUAGCGAUCUAUUUAGGAUCUGUGAGUGAACGACCUAGCACACCGUUUUGGAUUUUGAGAUACCGAUUCAAUUAUUUCUCAGCACAAUAACGGGCGAACGUAUGGGUUUGCAUUUUCAAUGUUUUUAAACCUUGUUUAUUUUUGGCUCCAAUCCAAAAAACGGUCUUUUAAAGCAUGUUCUUUUUGAGUACCCACCACAAAGUUAAAAGGUGAUAGGUGAACGUGUUUGGUUCAUAUUCGAGACAGACUUAUCACGUAUGUGAUUCAUAUUCGAGACAGGCUUCAAAUGUCUGUGGUUCGAAUCGAUAUUGUCUACCACUAAGCUAGAAAUUUUAGAAAUUAAAGGGUAAACUUUUAUGAAAAAAUUAAAGGGUAAACUUUUAUGAAAAAAUAAUGCCUUAUAUGUAUAGGUUUGUGUAGGGUUAAUAACCAUUGAAAAUACAAAGGUUAACGAUAGAAAGGGUUAUUUUUUUGUUUAAAAAAUUAUUUUAACAGAUAAAUUAAUUAAGGAUAAAUUUAGUUUUUUUUUUUAAUUUUAUAUGAAUUCUAAUUUUUUUUUUUUCUAUAAAUCUGAUUAAGAUGAAAUUUUGAGUGUAUAUACCUAAUACUAUUGCGCACUAUCUAAAAAUAUAAAAACAUUAUUUUCAGUAAUUUUAAAUGGCCAAAUUACCCUUGUCAUUUUUCAGGGGUAUUCUGAUCGUUUUAUAUUUUUAGAAAUAUUUUUUAAAUAGUUUUUAAUGUACGCCCUAUUUUUCAGUACACAAUCUAAAAUUUCAUUAUGAUUGAUUUCUAAAAAAAAUGUUAAAAUUUAUAUAGUGAUAUGUAUUCUGAACCACAUGAUGAAAAUCUGACGACUGAAAUUCCAC